rnacentral:tRNA from 1 species
UAAAACCUGUGGAGCACUAAACCACAUCCUCUGAAUGCAACUCAGACACUUUAAUUAAGCUAAGGCCUC